ACAUUAUAAGAGCAGCCGUUUUCCCUCUUUCCCUGUUUGAAGGAGGUGGUAAUGCAACUAAAAAGGAUGCCAACUGCUGUAAAACACCAAAGAAGGAGAAUUUUCACUGUAAAACAAGCUAAAGAACAGCAUGAUUCAAGGAGACUAAAGGAGGGGUGAUGCGAGAUCCAUGUGAGAAAUGCCCAGUCUGCGAAAGCGGGAUAGAAUGUCAAAGUGUCACCUAAUUCACUUCUUUUGAGGUGGACAUUUCGUUUAAUUUUGGAAAAUGGUCCGUCCGGAAGCCGACACUGAAGAGCGGUGUCAUUUCGAACAGCGAACUGAUCCAGCUGAGGAUCAACUUCAUGCAGAUGCUUAUCAGGAAACACGGCCUAGUUCACCACUAGCUAAGAGGCCAUGCAAGCUUUGCCAGAGUGGCAGUCUCAUCUUCCAUGUGUAUAGUUUGCUUCAAUAAAUGUUCUGAAAAUCAAAAGUUGUCUGUUUCUGUCUUCUAAAUGGCUCACUGAGUCUUUGUCUUAGUGGUGGGGAGGCAUGCGCCCAGGUGUGAAUA